AAACACGCUGGCGGCGUGCCUAACACAUGCAAGUCGAACGAGAAAGUGGAGCAAUCCAUGAGUAAAGUGGCGACCGGGUGAGUAACACGUGACUAACCUGCCCUAGAGUGGGGGAUAACCUCGGGAAACCGGGGCUAAUACCGCAUAACAUCGCGAGGGGAAGAUCCUUGCGAUCAAAGGAGCAAUCCGCUCCAGGAGGGGGUCGCGGCUGAUUAGCUAGUUGGUGAGGUAACGGCUCACCAAGGCGAAGAUCAGUAGCCGGCCUGAGAGGGCGCACGGCCACACUGGAACUGAAACACGGUCCAGACUCCUACGGGAGGCAGCAGUGGGGAAUUUUGCGCAAUGGGGGAAACCCUGACGCAGCAACGCCGCGUGGAGGAUGAAGUCCCUUGGGAUGUAAACUCCUUUCGAUCGGGACGAUUAUGACGGUACCGGAAGAAGAAGCACCGGCUAACUCUGUGCCAGCAGCCGCGGUAAUACAGAGGGUGCAAGCGUUGUUCGGAAUUAUUGGGCGUAAAGGGCGCGUAGGCGGUGCGGUAAGACUGUGGUGAAAUCUCCGGGCUCAACUCGGAAAUUGCCGCGGUGACUGCCGUGCUGGAGUGUGGGAAAAGUGA
rnacentral:rRNA from 1 species